UAAAGCAGCCACAAAGUACUGGAAACUUCUGUCUCUCUUGUUUGCCAUUGAGGAGAUCAAUCAGAACUCCAGGCUCUUAGCCAACACCACUCUGGGCUAUAAUAUCCAUGAUAACUUUUUUCAUGGAAGGGUGACGUACGAAGCCUUGGUAGACCAACUCUCUUCUAGGCAGGUGAAUGUUCCAAACUACAACUGUGGAGGACAAAAUAACUUGGUUGCUGUUCUUGAAGGGGCUGAGUCUCACAACUCCAUCCAGAUUUCCAGGAUUCUGAGUAUCUAUAACAUCCCACAGGUAGGAAUGGAGAGAGGUGUGGCAUUUUCUGUCUGAGUCUAAUUCUAGAGAACUCAAAAGCUAUGUAUAAUUUGCAUAGUGUUAACAUAAUAUCUUCCUCUUCAAAAUGAGGAAGACCUGGGAUGUUAGGGUUUUUAUUUUAAAAAGCUGUCGCAAACAAUUGUGGUUUUUUUUGGGGGGGGGUAUUGGAAUUAAAUGAUACUGAUGAACUGACUAUGAUGGAUACAUUAAAUGGGGGGAGGGGGGCCCUCAGUGACAAAUAUUGGAAUUUUUCUAAUGUCCCAAGUAUUGGAUUAACCUGUAUUUCGCUACUGUAGCAUCCCAGGUCGACAUGAGCAAUCCAGAGUCUUGCGCCCGAUCAGUCAAUGCCGGUUCAGACCACAUGAACACAUAUGGGAACAAAACCAAUAGCCACUGACAGGGAAAGAGGAUUUAGGAUGAUAGCGGACAGUGUGUCUAGGAUCACAGGCUUAAGCCUCUUUCUUUUUUUCUAUUUAAUUAAUUGUAAGAGGAAAAGAUCUAGGGACGCGGGUGGCGCUGUGGAUAAAACCUCAGCGCCUAGGACUUGCUGAUCGUAUGGUCGGCGGUUCGAAUCCCCGCGGCGGGGUGCGCUCCCGUCGUUCGGUCCCAGCGCCUGCCAACCUAGCAGUUCGAAAGCACCCCCGGGUGCAAGUAGAUAAAUAGGGACCGCUUACCAGCGGGAAGGUAAACGGCGUUCCGUGUGCUGCGCUGGCUCGCCAGAUGCAGCUUGUCACGCUGGCCAUGUGACCCGGAAGUGUCUGCGGACAGCGCUGGCUCCCGGCCUAUAGAGUGAGAUGAGCGCACAACCCUAGAGUCUGGCAAGACUGGCCCGUACGGGCAGGGGUACCUUUACCUUUACCUAAGAGGAAAAGAUGUGGGAAUGAAUGCCAGUAAACAGCUGGGCUGUCGUUUCAGGCAAAAACAGCGGAAGAGUGGGAAUGUUCAGCUGGGAAGCUUCACUCUUUGAAGUCAUGUCAAAUGGUGGUUCUCAGCACUCUCUGCAUGGGGAAUAAAGGGGAAUAAACGAGGUCUCUAGUAUAGGUGGCCAUGCCACUAAAUAUUUGGGAAAGUAGAUACGUUUUGCCCACAUUAAACAUGAUAGAUGAUAGAUAGAUAGAUGAUAGAUAGAUAGAUAGAUAGAUAGAUGAUAGAUAGAUAGAUGAUAGAUAGAUAGAUAGAUAGAUAGAUGAUAGAUAGAUAGAUAGAUAGAUAGAUGAUAGAUAGAUGAUAGAUAGAUGAUGAUAGAUAGAUAUAGAUAGCAUAACAUUUUGAAAGUGUCUAAGUGGCAUACCACAACAAGAAGCCUACUCAGAUGCUUUAAAGGUUGAGGUAAUUUUAACCUGUUUUACUAUUUUAACCUUCAUAUAUUUUAAAGUAUUGCUGUAAUUUUUCUUGAUUUUCGAAGUUUUCAUAAACUGCUUUGAGAGCUGUUGUUUCAAGCAGUGCAUGCAUUUUAUGAAAUUAAUGAACUAUAUAUGCAAAUAAAGUAACAAAGCGUAGUAAAAUCAUAGUAUUAAAGCCUAUUAAGAACAAAUAAAAACAGGGACCCAGGGAAUUCCUAGAGAUUAAAAUCCCAUCUGAUCUUACGUGUCAAGUCAUUGCCUCAGCACAAAGAUUUGCAUUUACAAGGUAAAUAGUAAUAAUAAUAAAAGGCUUUGAUCCAAAACAAAACAAGUCAACUAUCUUACUUCUCUUGCCAGGUCAGUUAUGCAUUUGUCUCCCAAGUUCUCAGUGAUAAGAGGCAGUUUCCUUUUUUCUACCGGAUGGUCCCCAAAGAAGAAGCCCAAUAUUCAGGGAUUGUCAAGCUGCUCCAGCACUUCAGAUGGACGUUCGUUGGUCUCUUUGCUCCAGACACCGACAACGGAGAGAGAUUCUUAAAGAUGUUGCUGCCUCUACUCACUGAGAAUGGCCUUUGUGUUCCCAUCUCACAGAGCAUCCCCCUAGUUGACAAUCAACCUGUGAAUAUCAGUUUUCUACCAUUCCAAAAGUGGAGACAAGUCAAUGUAUUUCUUUACUAUGUAGAAACUAAUUAUUUAUCCCUGGGAAUCAUAAUUAUAGAAAAAACAUUCAACCUCUUAAAACCCAAGACAGGGAAAGUCUUGAUCACCACGGCUAUGUGGGACAUCUCCUUGGAGUUAAAUUACAGUGGCUUAUCUUUCCAACACAUCCACAGCAUUCUUUCUUUCUUUUUGGAGACAAAUAAACGGGCAAAAUACGGUGGUUUUCUACCCUUCCUCGCUGGUAUUAAAAAGUUUUGGGAGGAAGCUUUUAAUUGCUCCUAUUCAAAGCAUGCAUUCUCAGUGAAAGGCUGGACAAGAUGCAGAGAGAGAGAGAAACUGGAGAUGCUUCCCCAAGACGAUCUGGAAAGGAUCCUCUCUCUAGACAGCUACAGGAUCUACAACACUGUCCAAGCUGUGGCUCGUGCCUUAAAUGCUGCAUAUUCAUCUAGAUCUAAGCAGAGGGCAAAGUACAAACUGGGAGUUCAAAGGCUACUGGC